UUAGAGACCCAUUUAUUCCGACGCAAACGUUGCUAUGCGGCUGCUUGGGGACUACGAGUGCUUAAAACUCAAAGAACUUGGCGGCUUGUUAACUACCUAGGGGAAUAUGUGCCUUAAUCCGAUAAUCCCCGUAGAAUCUUACUGUGCCUUGAAAAAGUGCAGCUGGUGUAUUGCCGUUGUCAGCUUGUUGUUAGAGCAAGAGGAACAAGCUCAAUGGAGCCGUCUCCGCGAAUUCAGGUCGUAAUACCGCCUAUGGCUCAAGGGAGUAGGUGUUACAGUUUAGAUUAAAAAUAACGGAUCUUUUGAAAUUGAAGGUGAACUUAGGAGUAAGGGAAAAUUAAUAUGUUCCCCUGAACAGACUCUGACUUGUGUACAAACUGCCCGUCGCUCUCGGCAGUUGAGAU
rnacentral:rRNA from 1 species